CACACCCUAGCACAUGCACACACUUCUGUUUCUACUGACAAGAAAGAUGAUGUAGGAUAUCUGCAGACAGAUUUGCAACACUUUCAGCACUUCUCUUUUCAACCGAGCCAUGAAAAAUCCUAUUUGUGCAGAUGUUCUUGCUUUUUUAAAAAUCCGUUACAUGUUCUUCGCCUGAGGAGAAUUACGCUCACUAAACGGGAUCUGAUGCUGCGGCGUGCACCUGCACCGAAACUACAAGGAGUCUUUUCCAGGCAGGUGCAAAUGUCUCCUAAACAUCUUAAGAAGACACAAACUCAGUUUAGAGUUCUGAGCUAGACUGUUAGGAUUGUGUCGAGCUGAAAAGCACGGUGGAAAUCACUUUACCUGCUAUUCCUUGAGUUUGCAGAAUGAAGUUCUUCCAACUCUCCCCGGCUCCAUGUGCAGAAGGUCGCAGCGCCGCGGCGGCCCCAUGGAGCUGCGCCCUGAGUCCCUCCCCUCUCCACUGCACUUCCUCGUUCCAGCCCAACAUGACUAUGUCUCUGAACUCGACUGGAGCAUUUUGCUUGCUUUUAUCCACAGGCCGAGUCUGCGGCGGGGAGUCGAGCCACCGAGCCCUUGGCACUUGCUUUGUGCCGUGCCAAUAAAAGCUGACACCCAGUAGACCAUUACUGGCAGCCAUGCAUGAGAUGGGAUGAGGCGCGCGAGGAGAGUGGACCAUUCAUUGUUUAUUUAUUUCAUUCUCACCGAGGAAGCUGACGGGGGGAGCUCCUUACUUGCAUAUUGGACAGCUCCCCUUCUGUCACCUGUUCAGGCACGCUGAAGCAGUCCAUGAAAUUAAACAACUGUUUCCUUUCCUGUAAUGAGUUUCAUCUCUAAAAUGUUUAAUCCCUUUGACCCUAUACUCUUCAUCUGCACUGAUUGUCCUUAAGUGUCAGAACCCAUGUCCUUCCUUUUCACACCAGCAAAAGUCCACAAUCUGGAUAUUUUGCCUGAACUUUAACAAAUUGAAUGAAACAUUUUUUUCAGUGUUCUUCUUCAGGAUGCAAACUGAGUGCAUUAUCACUUCAGUACUGACUCAUCCUCAUCAUGCAGGCCUGCACAGCACUCUUAUCUCAGGAGAAGUUGUGUGCUGGAUUGCUGAGUCACCUUUCGUGGGAGGCUGCCCUUAUCUCCUAAGAAGCACAACAUUCAGGCAGUUGGUUGCAAAAGGAGGAACUUCAGGCAGGAGCCCUGUGGCCUGCUCUGUCUACACAACCAUAAUACCAAUUGCAGCAACCAUUGCUGACUUCCUCAAAGCCUCAUGGCCAGCGCUGCUUUGUCGGUAAGGUCAGAGGGUACAGCUUUGGACACAUGCGGGUGUGAAUAGAGACACAGGAUAAGCAACUCCUGAGGCCACACAGAGGGAAUGCUGGGACUCAUAUGUGACUCAGCAGUAAUCACCAAGUGCAGAGGGCUCCAAUCAAGAUACUGUCCCAUCCCAGUGACGCAGCUGCUGCACUUACUAUACAUCUGUGAGGCAAAAUACUUUUUAAAGAGGACACUACAGAGGUGGUCAAUACUCACUGCUAUAGCUUAAUUAAUGAUCGUCAUACUAAUCUCUAAUUAUAAACUAGUCACGUGUAAGCCCCCAAACAUUGAAGCAGAAUUCUGAAAAUGGAAUAGAAGUUUUAUUAGAUAACUCAAUUCUGCAGAUUUGGGAUUAUAUCACACAUCUACAUGCUGUAAUCCAUGGCUGCAAAUAUAACCAAACAUAACCUUCUACUUCUCAAGGUCAAUCUACAACCUGAAGAAAGCCAUGUUGUUGUAAUUAAUAUCAUUACCUGGCAAGUCUCAAAACAUCAUCGGGGAUGUAGCCAGUCGACUACGGAACAAAAGACUCCGUCUGGUUCUUAUUUCAUGGAUCUUUAAGCAGUAUUCACUGUUUCACAUUUGGAAGCAUGAGCAGCAUGUAACCCUUAAUUGGUUUCAACACCUUAAUAAGUCAAAGACGUUCAGGACUGAUAAUCACAUUAAAUAGUCCAAUUCAUCUAAAAAGUCAAUUGCAAACUGAAAACUCUCUUUCUUUAGGGAUGCAUUAUGCUGUGAGGUUGUCAGAGUAAAUUAAAUUCCCCUCUGCACACUAAAGCAUCUAUUUCCUUAUGGUAAUUAUCUGCUGGAAUAGACGUGUCACUAGAAGGAGUCAUGCAUGCUUGACAUUUAGCCUUUUUAUGGAGAGGCGAUGAGUAAAAAUUAAGAUGGGGAAAAGGAAAUUAAUCUGCAGCUCAGGCAGGCAUUGAGAGAUCCUGGAGGAUAGUGGCUGAAUCAAUCAUGAUGUUUGUGAGCCUGUUUUGAAAAGAAGCCAAUGAUGAGAUUCAGACCACGGGCUGGAAAUCUGAGGAGAAGGAGGGGGGGGGGGGGGGGGUACUUCUCUAGCAAAUAGUGAAAAGAUUAAGAUGAGAAGGUUUUGCACAAUUGAAUUGUUGACAACACAAAACAUACAACACUUUUUAAUUUUCUAAACCUCUUCAUUUUGAAAAAGUAAUUUUUAGAUUUAUAUGGUAACAGCUAAUCUCACACAUCUCAAUCUGGGAAUUCCUGUUUUCAUUUGUCACAUUAAGAUGUUCUGCUGAUUGUUUCACCUUUCCCUGAACCAGUUAGAUUAUCAUUUCCAGUCUUUAUGCCAAUCUAAGAUACCUUUUCAACCCUGUAGCUCCAUAUCCAGGGUAAAUCUAGGGAAUUGUAUCAAUAUUCCUUUUGAACCUUUUGCACUGAAUCAAACAAUGUUCCAUCUUUCCUAUCUGUAAGCACUUCUAUCAUAUUACUGCAUGUCACAAACUUUAAAUAUUCAUGUAUGAUAUAUGUUCCUAACCAUCUUCCCAGCUGUUCUUGGGCUCCCUUGUCUUGUAGUUUCCUCUAGACGUCCUGCUGCUGUGGACCCGUCUGCAGUGGCGAUUCUAGAGUCUGUCAGGGGCCCAGGCAAACAUUUCCUGGGGCCCUCUAAACGGGCAUUCAUCAUAUGUUACAAAUAAUAGUUAUAUUAUCAGCAUUUCGAGGGUACACUUUUAUUUUCUCUUUUGUUGAUGUCAGAAAUGUAGAAGUAAUGAUCCAAUGUCUUGUUUUUUUUUCUCGCUAAUUGUGAGUGCUGUUUCAUGGGGCCCUCUUAGGGAGGUUUUCUGUCAUUGCAAAAUUAGCACAUUAUGAGCCUCGGCUGUGGAUAAAAGUUUGCUCAACGCUGGUUCGAGGGCCCCCCAGCUGAUUUUUGCCUUGGAUCCCAACAGACUCUAGAAUCGCCUCUGGUCCCAAGCAGCACCUCUGCUCUUACUUCUAUGAUCAUUCUAAUAACUGUUGAUGGGAAUCAAAGAGUUGCCUAACUUCAGCUGCUAUAAUUAACAUUAUCAGUCGGCCCAUUUUAUAUUGCCAUUAUAGUUUUUAAUGUUAAAAUUAGAAUGAUUGGACUAUCAUUUCAUACCUUGUUGUUACUGAUAAUCCAACACAUACAUUACUGUCAUUGUAGCUAUACAUCUGUUUUAGUCAUGGUUGUUAUUGCUCUGUUUGUCUCUACCCAUUCUCUCUUCCUGCAUCUCACUCUUGAAGCCCGGCAGAUGGCUGUUCAAUGACAAUGCCAUUUAGACAGAGUAGUUUGCUUGUAAUUAAAAACAAAUCAAAUGAUCUAAUA